ACCCUUCCCUCUUGGCACUACUAUCUGUUGUUUGAUAGCAGUGUAUAUAUUGGAAGGUAGAUGAUGUCCAUUGGAUAUUCGGGUCACCUUCGGUGCUGUUUUUUAUCACGUCGAACAGUAUCAUCCUCUGGACUCGAAACAACC
rnacentral:snoRNA from 1 species